rnacentral:lncRNA from 1 species
UUGAUGGAUGGUUUCGAAUUCCGUAUGUGCCGCAGUGAGAUCGUCAAUAAGCUGAUUAACAUCCAGUUCUUGAGAGCCUUCGUUAGCCAUAGGAGGUGGGAUUGGAUUGAAAGCACCAAUGUAAAGAAAGAGAGAUCGAGAAUUCCGACGAUAGCCGGAGAGUCGCCAAACAACAAAUUAAAGAAAGAAAGUGAUUACAAUAAAACUUGUUAUCCUUCUACUGAACUUCAUAUAACGUAUUUAUAGGGUUGCCAUGUUCUAGUCUUAGACCUCACAGACGACUAUGGGCCGCUAAUCCAGAUCUAUGUUAUUAGUGGUGAUAUAAUUACUAAAUUACGAGCCAUUAAUUUUCAAUUAUGGAAUUAGUGGAGGUGGAGGGCUUACCAAUAAUAAACGAAAACUAAAAGCGGAAUAUUGGAAAAAUGUGGGGAUCUUUAAGCAAAAUUCAUUCAUGAAGAAAUGUUGUAGAUCUUUGAAUAUAUAAGGGUUAAUCAGAAAUUUCCCAUAGUUAAUGAGGAAUCCUUGGUAGGCUUGAGGUAGUAACAAGGAUCGUAAAUGAAGAAAUAUCCAUGAUUCCGAUAAUAGAUAUUAAAUCUUUCAGCUGUGUUGAUAAAUGGAAAUCCAAAGGUAAUAAAGAAGAGGAAACAACGUCAAGAAGAGACGAAUGUGUGGAAAUAGAGAGAGAGAGAGAGUUCUCCAUAUGAUACCUCGAAGGUAAAAGAAACAAUCCAUGUCAAGGACUCUGAGUUUUGUCACAGAAGCUGUUUGAGCUACUAGGAUUUUAUUUUGCCCUGAUUUUGCUCUAAUAAUGGGUUUCAAUUUUGCCCUAAUUUUGCUCAAAUAUCGGGUUUUGAUUUUGCCCUAAUUUUUCAUUUUGGGUCUAGGUUCCUGUAAAUACGACUUUUAUCGACAUUUUCCCAAAAUCCACACUAUUAUUAUUACUCAUUCUAUUAAUUUGAUCGGACAUUAAGACAGUUUAAGCACUUCAGAUUGUAAUCUAUGAAAGAGAAUUUUUCAUAAGUGGCUAAACUGAAAAAACCAAGCAAAAUUAAAGGAUAAUGAUUGUUGUGUCAAAACUCAAAAGUUAUAAUGUCUGAAUUGAAGACUUGUUUUUUCAAAUUAUCAUGUACCAAACGUGCGAAUAUUUGAUUCUAAAUUUUUUAGUUCUACUGCACAGUUGGAACAAUGGCAUACCGGAAGAGGACUGCUAUAGUAUUUUUUUGGAGAUGGCAUUUUAGCUCAUGUGGUAAAUGUAAUUGUUUUAGAGCUAUUUUUCUUCUGGUAUACGCCGAUCUUAAACUGUGGUGGGAUCUCUGUCGUAGAUGACGUUUUCCGAGGCACAUAAAAGGGGACGUCGUAUUUGAAGUUUAUCUAUUAGUUGGUCACCGAUUAUCUGAAUAAAUAAUAUUCAUUCGAUUGGACUAAAUCCUCACAUGGUAUUAGCAUCACACCUAGAUUUUGUAUCCAUUUUUUAUAUUGCCCAAUUCAUAUUAAGCAUAUGUAGGACAGGAAAGAACACCAUGGUAAUCGAUUUCAAUGUCGUGAUGACACAUACGAUGUUUUUGAAUCAAUCAACAGAGUGUAUAGAAAUAUUGUCACAUUAAAUGCAAUCAUUUGGUAUACUGCAGUAAUUGUUUCUUUGGUGAUCGAGAUAACAAGUUUGAUGAACAGUGAGUUGGAAUUGAAAAGCUGUUUUUUUUAUUUGUUGACAGUUAAAUUUUGGUAGAGGAUUAAGAAUAACCUUCAAUGAUGGUUUAUAGAUUGAUUACUAAAUUAGCAUUAGCAAAUGAUGGGUGUUCCUGAUAACAUGCAGUCAGUAUUGAAAACCUGUUUUUUUCUUUGUUGGUAUUUAAAUUUUGGUAGAGGAUUAAGAAUAACCUUCAAUGAUGGUUUAUAGAUUGAUUACUAAAUUAGCAUUAGCAAAUGAUGGGUGUUCCUGAUAACAUGCAGUCAGUAUUGAAAACCUGUUUUUUUCUUUGUUGGUAUUUAAAUUUUGGUAGAGGAUUAAGAAUAACCUUCAAUGAUGGUUUAUAGAUUGAUUACUAAAUUAGCAUUAGCAAAUUAUGGGUUUUCCAGAUACGAUGGCUGUUGGAAUUGGACAAAUUUUAUCUUUAUUGGCAUUUAAAUCUUGCUAGAGAAUUAAAAAUAACCUCCAUGUUAGAUUUUGCAAUACUUAAUAUGUUAUAAACACUGCUAAUUAGGAUAUUAUUUUAUUCAUUCAUUUAUUUAGCUAAUAGUUUAAUACUUUGUUCAUUUAUUUAUGAUUAUAAAUUCUGAUUUCUGAGAUAGAGAAUUAUCAAUUUUUAUGUUAUGAAAUGAUAGUUUAAAUCAUUUGAUUAAUUUACAUUUUUUGAAAAAAUUCUAUUUCCAUUAGAUUAUAUAGAUAAAUUUAUUACAAGAAAUCUAAGAAAAUGAAUUGCAUCAGUUGUCAAAAAAGGACACGAUUUUGAAGCAAAAGAUUUAAUUUCUGAUCCUGUCUCAAUUUUUUUUGAAAAUUCUAAUCAAAGUUCCAAAAUAAUUUCCCGCCUCCUGCGAAGAAACUCCGCUAACCCCCUAACGCGUUCCUGGCCCGCCACUGUAGCUUAUUAUGAUUCGCCACCAUGUACAAGCUAGGUUCCUCCUUAGAUUAUGAUGAGGAUAACGAUUUCUAUUUUGAACACGGUUCACAUGAUAAACGCUUAUACUGUCUACCACAAACUGCAAGGAAAACAAUGAAAUGAAAAAUAAACAGAGAUUUGAAUUAAUUUUUACCUAUUAACGUUUUGAUUGAUUUCCAGUACAUCAUCCACCAAUCAUGAAAGGCGAGAAAGAUAGAAACCAAAAAAAUAAACUUACAUGACCGUCUAUCAUGUUUCCAAUUAGCGAUGGACGAGGUCGGUGCGGCAUGAUUUGGACAUGAUUCGGAACACGAUUCAAAUUGAUACCAUCCCUAAUAAACUGCAAGAAAAAUAAUGGAAUUGAGAAAUAAACAAAGAUUUGAUUUGAUUUGGACAUAUCGAUCUUUUGAUUGAUAUCUAGUACAUCAUCCAUCAAUCAUCAAAGGUAGAAAGAUAGAGACCAUAAAAAUAAACAUACAUGCCCGUCUAUCAUGUUUGGAAUUGACGAUGGACGAGGUCGGGGCGGCAUGAUUUGGACAUAAUUCGGAUUAACACGGUUCACAUUGAUAUCAUCCAUUAUAAACUGCAGAAAAAUAAUGGAGUUGAGAAAUAAAUAGUGAUUUGAUAUAAUUUGGACAUAAAAAUCUUUUGAUUUAUUUCUACUACAUCAAUCCAUCAAUCAUCAAAGGUAGAAAGAUAGAGACCAAAAAAACAAACUUACAUUCUCGUCUACCAUGUUUGGAACUGGCGAUGGACGAGGUCGGGACGGUAUGAUUUGGUCAUGAUUCGGAACACGAUUCACAUUGAUUCUAUCUGUUAUACACUGCUAGAAAAACAAUGGAGUUGAUAAAUAAACAAAGAUUUGAUUAAUUUUAAAAAAUUUACCUUUUGAUGGAUGGUUUCGAAUUCCGUAUGUGCCGCAGUGAGAUCGUCUAUAAGCUGAUUAACAUCCAGUUCUUGAGAGCCUUCGUUAGCCAUAGGAGGUGGGAUUGGAUUGAAAGCACCAAUGUAAAGAAAGAGAGAUCGAGAAUUCCGACGAUAGCCGGAGAGUCGCCAAACAACAAAUUAAAGAAAGAAAGUGAUUACAAUAAAAC